UUCCACAGUAACGCAAUAAUGCGUACUCUGCAUGUACACAGGAUAUUCAUAAAACAUUAAAUAAUCUAAUGAUGCUCUAACAAAGCUUAAAUGAAAACCUGAAAAACUUGAUGCAGAAGACACAAUAAGAGUAUUGAUUAUCUAUGCCCUCAUAAGAAUAGUUGCAAGCAAACUGGAAUGUAUGAUUCUAAAAAAGACAGUAAUGAGAUGUCAAGUGCUGAAGGGCAAUUUGUCUGUCCUGAAAUAAAUCUAUUCAUAACAAAUUUAUGAGUACAAGUCAAACUGACCAUCUACAUGAUACAUCAGAGGUAGACUGAAUGACUGAAUGGCACUUGAUGAGCUGUUUCUAAAAAGUCAAGCAAGAGGAGGUGAAUGGAAAAAAAAACUUAAGUGUCCUACUGUUGCUUGAGUGUAUUUGGACAUGUGCACACAUACUAUGUGCAGCUACAUGUUUGUGACUCUCUCUCUAUGGCUAUGUUCACACAGUAGCAGAAUACAGAUGUCAGUCCGAUUGGAGUGCUAUAUUAAGUUCUGUAACAUAGUUUGGUUAUGAAAGAGAGUGACAAACACAUCCCAAAACCAAAGCGACACAAAUUUUGUAAAAAUUUUUGCUUUCAGUUGGUAUGUGGUGGAUGAAUGUAACAGCAGUUGACAAAAACUGUUGGUUACAUUUUUGACAAAUCUUUUGAUGUAUAGCAUUAAGUGCUUACUUUACGGAUUAUUAUUCUUUGCUAUCAAUUGUUAUGUAAGUAAAUCUCUCUCCGGUUGUGAAAAAUGGCAGAAAAUAUAGAGAGAAAUAGAGUGAAAGACAAAAUUCUUAUUAGGUAUGAGGGCGGAGGAUGAAAAAACGAAUUGGACAGAAAUGUUUUUUUACGGAGCCCCUUAGAGGACAGGGUGAGAUUUUUUUUUCUGAAAUAGUUUUGCAUGGCCUCGAAAUAAAUUUUGCGUUCCCUCGCAAUUGCGUUUCCUUGCAAUAAAUUUACCAUGAUACUACUACAGUAACCAUAUUUUAACCUUGAUAUUCAUAGGGCAACCAUAGUAAUAAUACAGGAAAACUAAUGCUAUGUUAAUAAAAAUCAUUAGUUCCAAUCUGUCAUUGGUUGUCAUGUCAUCUUGUUACCCUUGUCUGUGUAUUUAAGCCCUAUGUUUGCCUUUGUGCUUUGUCUUGUAUUGUUAAUGUUACGUCGCUCAGUUUAGUUCUUGGUCUCUUGUAUGUUUUGUCCUGAUUUGAGUAAAACUGCACUUGGUUUUACUGCAUCUCUUCGUCUUGUCCUGCUCUGCUCUGCUCUGCCUGUAUGUUACAGAAUACAAGACCAACCGAAGAUGAACCCAGCAGUUAAACUGAUGCAUCUCCAUCAGGGGAAUUGUCCCCUUGAAGACUUUGUUGUGGACUAUCUGGAAUUAUGUGAUCAGGUGGAUUUUGAUGAGCCUUUGACACAGUCAACCAUCAGAUCUUACUCUCCACCCUCUCUUCGCUGUGCAUCACAGGAACUUUGAUUGACUGGUUUAAUUCCUGUCUCUCAGCCCAACGACACCACAGUGACUGCUCGAAUCUCUACCUGUUUGGCAGACAUCUCAUCCUGAAUGAAGGAAUACCACCUGCAAUUAACCCAGCCAAGACCGAACUCCUUGUCUUUCCAGUCAACCCUGCUGUUGAACACAACAUCAC